rnacentral:rRNA from 1 species
GACGAACGCUGGCGGCGUGCUUAACACAUGCAAGUCGAGCGGUAAGGCCCUUUCGGGGGUACACGAGCGGCGAACGGGUGAGUAACACGUGGGUGACCUGCCCUCAGCUCUGGGAUAAGCCCGGGAAACUGGGUCUAAUACUGGAUAUUACUCUGCGGUGCAUGCCGUGGGGUGGAAAGCCUUGUGCGGCUGGGGAUGGGCCCGCGGCCUAUCAGCUUGUGGUGGGGUGAUGGCCACCAAGGCGACGACGGGUAGCCGGCCUGAGAGGGCGACCGGCCACACUGGGACUGAGACACGGCCCAGACUCCUACGGGAGGCAGCAGUGGGGAAUCUUGCGCAAUGGGCGAAAGCCUG